rnacentral:rRNA from 1 species
CUACGUGCCAGCAGCCGCGGUAAUACGUAGGGCGCGAGCGUUGUCCGGAAUUAUUGGGCGUAAAGAGCUUGUAGGCGGUUUGUCGCGUCUGCUGUGAAAGGCCGGGGCUUAACCCCGUGUAUUGCAGUGGGUACGGGCAGACUAGAGUGCAGUAGGGGAGACUGGAAUUCCUGGUGUAGCGGUGGAAUGCGCAGAUAUCAGGAGGAACMCCGAUGGCGAAGGCAGGUCUCUGGGCUGUAACUGACGCUGAGAAGCGAAAGCAUGGGGAGCGAACAGGAUUAGAUACCCUGGUAGUCCAUGCCGUAAACGUUGGGCACUAGGUGUGGGGGACAUUCCACGUUUUCCGCGCCGUAGCUAACGCAUUAAGUGCCCCGCCUGGGGAGUACGGCCGCAAGGCUAAAACUCAAAGAAAUUGACGGGGGCCCGCACAAGCGGCGGAGCAUGCGGAUUAAUUCGAUGCAACGCGAAGAACCUUACCAAGGCUUGACAU